ANUUUAACGCUGGCCGGCAGGCCUAACUCAUGCAAGUCGACCGGUAGAAAGUAGCUUGCUACUUUUGAGAGCGGCGGACGGGUGAGUAACGCGUGGGAAUCUACCUGGUAGUGGGGGACAACUUGGGGAAACUCAAGCUAAUACCGCAUACGCCCUACNGGGGAAAGGAGGGGCUCUUAGGACCUUUCNCUAUCAGAUGAGCCUGCGUAGGAUUAGCUAGUUGGUAGGGUAAAGGCCUACCAAGGCGACNAUCCUUAGCUGGUCUGAGAGGAUGAUCAGCCACACUGGGACUGAGACACGGCCCAGACUCCUACGGGAGGCAGCANUGGGGAAUAUUGGACAAUGGGGGCAACCCUGAUCCAGCCAUGCCNCGUGUGUGAAGAAGGCCUUCNGGUUGUAAAGCACUUUCAGUGGUGAGGAANGGUGANNAGUUAAUACCUNCUUACAUUGACGUUAGCCACANAAGAAGCACCGGCUAACUCCGUGCCAGCAGCCGCGGGUNAAUA
rnacentral:rRNA from 1 species